UGGCAUUCACAUACCAAACAACUGCAAGAAUGGCUAUGGGUAUCAUCUUUAGAGCAUCCAUUCUCAUGGGAUUGCUUUGUUAUGGUUUGCUUUCUGGUCCAGGUAAAGACCCUUUUUCCUUUUGAUUAAGGUUAUGUGCAAAACAAAAAAUGUAAUGAAGUAAAAGUGUACCUUAAACGAAUUACUAAUCUGCUUUUCUUUUGUUUUUCAUCAAUUCAAAAUUAAAGGACAAACUCAAUAUAAAAGUUAAAAUUAGACAUUUUCCAAAAGAUUUAAUGACAACUAUUACCACAAGUGAUUUUUUUUUUUUUGACAAACUGAUAAUUUCUUUUCUCUUUUUCCUUGUGCUUUGUAGCAAUUGUCAUGGCCGAUGUAACAAAUGAGACAUGGCUGAUGUACCAGGGUCGAUGCACAACAAUUCCAGGGUGUAUUGCAACUUGUAAGAAAGAAAAAUACCCUGAUGGAGGCGUUUGCAAAAGGCCUUCUAGUGAUUCACCCUAUGUUAAUUGCUAUUGCAUAGCCCAUUGAAUUACAAGAAGCCUUAGAAUUGUGUGAUCUUUGUGUGAUGAUUCUAAGAUACUAUGGAAUGUAUACCCUUAUUUUGAUGAAUAAUAGCAA
rnacentral:lncRNA from 1 species